rnacentral:rRNA from 1 species
AAUCAACGCUGGCGGCGUGCCUCAGACAUGCAAGUCGAACGAUUAAGACUUCCUUCGGGAAGUGUAUAAAGUGGCGCACGGGUGAGUAACACGUAAGUAAUCUACCCUCGAGUGGGGAAUAACGUUCGGAAACGAACGCUAAUACCGCAUAAUGCAGCGGCAUCGCAAGAUGACAGUCGUUAAAGGAGUAAUGCGCUUGAGGAGGAGCUUGCGGCAGAUUAGCUAGUUGGUAAGGUAACGGCUUACCAAGGCUACGAUCUGUAUCCGGUCUAAGAGGACGGUCGGACACACUGACACUGAAUAACGGGUCAGACUCCUACGGGAGGCAGCAGUCGGGAAUUUUGGGCAAUGGGCGAAAGCCUGACCCAGCAACGCCGCGUGAAGGAUGAAGUAUUUCGGUAUGUAAACUUCGAAAGAAUGGGAAGAAUAAAUGACGGUACCAUUUAUAAGCUCCGGCUAACUACGUGCCAGCAGCCGCCGUAAUAC